UCUUAAUACUAAAAAUCAAAAGCGACCCAUUAUACCUUAGAAUAGCUUUCAACAUUAAGCUAAAUCAAUGGAAAACUUCUAUAAAAAAAAUAUAUUUAUUUAUACGAACUCUUAAUACUAGAUAUCAAAAGCGACCCAUUAUACCUCGGAAUAGCUUUCAACAUUAAGCUAAAUCAAUGGAAAACUUCCAUAAAAAAGUAUAUUUAUUUAUACGAACUCUUAAUACUAGAUAUCACCGGUGACCCAUUAUACCUUGGAAUAGCUUUCAACAUUAAGCUAAAUCAGUGGAAAAAAUAAGAAAAUAUGUAACUUUAUUUAUACGAUUUUGAUUUUAAUAAUCAAAAUCACAAAGGACCCAUUCAUUAUACCUUGGAAUAGCUUUCAAGCUAAGUUAAUGCAGGUGAAACUUUUUUAGGAUUAAUUAUUACGAAGAAAAUGCAAUAUAGGUCCGUUUGCAAAACUGAAACAAUACAUACAGUAUUUAAUAAAUCAAUAAUCGGGCAAUUAGCCACCUAAACUAAAUCAAAGAAACACGUCAAUAACUUUCUUUGAAUUAACUUAGAAUAAUUCAUAUAUACGACAAUAAUGAAUAUUUUCUUUUCUUUUUCCUUUCUUAAAUUAAUUUCUACAUCGUCCCCCGUUGAUACCGAAAUAAAUUGCCAUAUG
rnacentral:lncRNA from 1 species